rnacentral:misc_RNA from 1 species
CCGAGUUUACAACUCCCAAACCCCUGUGAACAUACCACUUGUUGCCUCAGCGGAUCAGCCCGCUCCCGGUAAAACGGGACGGCCCGCCAGAGGACCCCUAAACUCUGGUUUCUAUAUGUAACUUCUGAGUAAAACCAUAAAUAAAUCA